rnacentral:tRNA from 1 species
GCGGAUAUGGUUGUAUUGGCAGACACGAUAGACUUAGGAUCUAUUGCGCAAGCGUGCAGGUUCAAGUCCUGGUAUCCGCACCA